CCCUUAGAUGUUCUGGGCCGCACGCGCGCUACACUGAUGCAUUCAACAAGCCUAGCCUUGACCGAGAGGUCCGGGUAAUCUUUGAAACUGCAUCGUGAUGGGGCUAGAUUAUUGCAAUUAUUAAUCUUCAACGAGGAAUGCCUAGUAAGCGUGAUUCAUCAAAUCGCGUUGAUUACGUCCCUGCCCUUUGUACACACCGCCCGUCGCUCCUACCGAUUGAAUGUGUUGGUGAGGAGCUCGGAUUGGCAGAAGUUGGUGGUUCGCCACCGGCUAUUGCUGAGAAGUCCUCCAAACCGCCCCAUUUAGAGGAAGGAGAAGUCGUAACA
rnacentral:rRNA from 1 species